rnacentral:tRNA from 2 species
GGCCCUGUAGCUUAACCUGGAUAGAGUAGCGGGUUUCGGCCCCGCUGGUGGGGGUUCAAAUCCCUCCAGGGUCU